GUGCCAGCAGCCGCGGUAAUACGGAGGGUGCAAGCGUUAAUCGGAAUAACUGGGCGUAAAGCGCACGCAGGCGGUUAGAUAAGUCAGAUGUGAAAUCCCCGGGCUCAACCUGGGAACUGCAUUUGAAACUGUCUGACUAGAGUCUUGUAGAGGGGGGUAGAAUUCCAGGUGUAGCGGUGAAAUGCGUAGAGAUCUGGAGGAAUACCGGUGGCGAAGGCGGCCCCCUGGACAAAGACUGACGCUCAGGUGCGAAAGCGUGGGGAGCAAACAGGAUUAGAAACCCCUGUAGUCC
rnacentral:rRNA from 1 species